GACGAACGCUGGCGGCGUGCUUAACACAUGCAAGUCGAACGGAAAGGCCCUGCUUUUGUGGGGUGCUCGAGUGGCGAACGGGUGAGUAACACGUGAGUAACCUGCCCUUGACUUUGGGAUAAUUUCAGGAAACUGGGGCUAAUACCGGAUAGGAGCUCCUGCUGCAUGGUGGGGGUUGGAAAGUUUCGGCGGUUGGGGAUGGACUCGCGGCUUAUCAGCUUGUUGGUGGGGUAGUGGCUUACCAAGGCUUUGACGGGUAGCCGGCCUGAGAGGGUGACCGGCCACAUUGGGACUGAGAUACGGCCCAGACUCCUACGGGAGGCAGCAGUGGGGAAUAUUGCACAAUGGGCGGAAGCCUGAUGCAGCAACGCCGUGUGCGGGAUGACGGCCUUCGGGUUGUAAACCGCUUUCGCCUGUGACGAAGCGUGAGUGACGGUAAUGGGUAAAGAAGCACCGGCUAACUACGUG
rnacentral:rRNA from 1 species